UCAGAACCAUGCUCUCUGUCUGCAGUACAAGGACUUCGUGUUGACCACCCUGCUUGGAUUAAGGAGGAUGCAAGGCAGGAGGAGCAGAGGGCUUAGCCAAGAUGUCUGUCAUCUCCCUUCAGAAAGCAUGAGCUGUUGCUAAGAGCUCUGGAGGUGCUGUACUGAAGCUUUGCUGACGUGCUGAUCCCUGCGACCGAUUCCUCUGAAGCAGGCUGCACCGUCAACUUGGAGACAGCUCCUCCAGGGUGAGAUCAGCUGCACCUUUAGGAGAGUCUCCAGACGGCUCUUCGGGGAGAAAAGUUAGAGACAGAUCAACAUCUGAAAAAAGUAUCUCCUCCGGUGGCAAAACACCGGCUUCACCUUGUGCCUCCCAAGGACAACUUGAAAAGGGCAAAGUGGAGCUGCCCCCGUUGCCCUUGCGCGGGGCUCAGAAGACUGCUCGCGAGCUCUUGUGGCAGCGUGACCUCAGGAGCUCUCCAGGAUGUGCAGUCCGGGGUUUUAUGCCCAAGCCUGUCCUGUGCUUGGCUAACGGCCUCGCUUCGUUGCAGGAUACUGAGCAGAGCUGCUGGGGCGUGCUAGCCUGGGGGAAGCCACGGAGCCACUGGUCGCCCAGGUAUCUGGAGAAAUCCCGUGCUUCCAGAUAAGGACACGCCACAUUUACAGUUGCCUACCACCUUUAACACAUCCUCUUCUGCAUGGUCACAUGAAGGUUGCCAGCAGGGGUGAAGAGCUCUGCUGGAGAGCAAGGAGGGAAGCUGCACGCAGUCACCUGCAAACACUGUAAAGAGCGUUCAAAGGUCCCCCUAUCAACUGUAGCCCAGCUGCACCAAGAGACCCUGCUCCUGAUGUCCUUGGCUCCUGCAGACGCACAAGAACCAGGCUGGCUGCGUGCUCCAGGUGGAGGAACAAAGGAGCCCUUCAUCUGCUCCUGCAGAGCAGGCUGGUGGCCAGCCCGUGUGUGGUGCUUGGUUCCCCCUGCUGCAGCUGAGAGGUGGGAGCAAGCGGAGGAUGAAAAAUCAGAGUAAUGGCCGAGGAGACGGUAUCCACUUGACUUUUCUUGCCCAUGGCGUGAGUGAUUAAUCUAGCGAAGGCGCUGCAGCGGAGUGAGACCACAAGGUUACGCAGCCCGAAGCCUACGUGCUCCAGGAGCUGGAGGAUGCUGCUGGACUGGCAGCCGCAAGGUGCGUUCCUCCUCCCCUCGCACUGCUCUGCCUUUGAUCUGCUUCCAGGAGGGGAAUUUUGUUCCCCGUUCCGAGCUGCUUCAACCCAGGCUGGCGGAGCAGCAGGAGCCCUGCUGUAACUAAUGAGAUGUUUGCUGCUCGCUGUCUGACACUGCGGUAGGUACUCUGUGCUGUCUGAGACCUGUGAUGAUAAACCAAGCCUCCCGGAGAUGGAGUGGCUUCCCAGUGAUACGAGACUGUUGUCCGCUUACUGUUAUCCGAUAGGAUCUCUCCUCCGAGCUCUGCUUAAGCCUCCUCUGUAGCGUAUCGAGCCACUGAGGUCUGAUCCUGCUGAGAAGUGGUGUAAACUGAGAGCAGAUCUGCCUGCCAGCAGUCUGCUUCAGGGGCAGAGCGGCACCGGGGCCCGCAGUAGGGCUGCUGGACAUUCAUGGAGAGCGUCUGCAUUUUGCAGUGUGGCUCUGGCAGGUGCUGGAGGGACUUUCCUACAGACAAACGUGAUUCCCCUCCUCGCUGCCCAAGGGCUGAGAACCCCCUGCGCAGAACCAGCACUGCCCCUCCUCUGCCCAUAGCUGAUGCCAAAGGAUCUUGGGCUGUUUCCUCGGAUCCUGAACUACUGAUGUCUCCUUUGCGGCCAGCUCACCCCAUGACACCUGCUGCUGUCCCCAUGCCAGCGAGGGGAGAUUCCCAACCAAACCCCCAUGUCGUGCUGUCUGUUUAUUGGAGGAAGCAAAGAGUAUUUUCAACCCUCCCAUCUAGCAGUGGGUCGAAUGGCAGGUCCGUGUGCCCACCUCUGGCCAGGUAGGUGCUGUGGGUGCUGUCUUCCUUCCUGGUGGGUCCUGUGCGCAGCGCUCGUCCCAGCACAGCGUGUGCUUCGCCUCCUCGGUGCCUCUGCCUCUUCCGUGGCACUGGGUUUUGUAUUGCAGAGCACCGGGGAGGGGAACUGUGCUGGUCGGGGUGCCUUUUGUGAGGCAACUCAUGCUUUUCCGUCCUGAACUGUUGUCUCAGGAAAAAUGUCUCUUUAACUGAUCAAAGCCUCUCUUCUGGUCCUGGUCGUAAUUGCUCCUUUUAGGAGAUUUCUGCCUGCAGAUAGACUUUGCUAACUUUCCCCAGAAAAGCUGCUGUUAACACAGGGAGUUUUCAUCUUAAAUUUCAAAGAGGUGAAACUUGGUCUCAGCCUUCUUGCCCAUUAAAUGGAGGUCUUUGGCUGAAAUCCUCGCUAUUCUUCUGGCUCCCAAGAGCUGGUGGACAUCUGGAAGACCCCUGCGGGCCUGGCUGGUUAGGAGAGGACCGCUGGUCCCUGGCUGGGGAUGAGCCCCGUAUCCACCAGCACCAUUGCUGUGGCCAAAGCCUGAUUUGGGUAGGCUGUAGUGCAAGUUCUGCCUGCUGAAGCGGGGUUUGUGUUUGUUCUGUUCUCCUUGACUUUCUACUGCGCUGCCUCAUGGGGUCUGCUCACCCACGUGCUGCUCAGCGGUCUUUGGAGCCCUGUUUCGGAGGGAAGGAAGUGCUGUCUGUUGUGAGGGGAUCUAAAUCUGCUGGUUAAGAGCAUCUUCUCUUCCCUGGGCAGAAAAUGCCCCCAUCCUUGAGCCUGUAUCAUCUCUGCUUGGAGUGGCACAAAGAGAUGCAGCGGCUCUGCUGCCGUUCAGCAGCUGGACCUGGACACAGGCUCCUAGUUUCAAGCAGAAAGAAACAAUUCCUGCUCAGCUGUUUGAAGAACUGGACCAAACAUCUUCCUGUCCCGUGCUGACCUUUGCGGUGAGGUUGUGCAUGGAGAAAUGUGCCGAAACGCCCCGUUGCCAUGAGAACCGAGGUCAAGAGAGGACCAGCGUGCUUCUGCUAAUUGCUGCAGCUCCUUCACCUGGCUGCAAACCCCGCUGCACGAAGCCAGCCCCAUGGUGCUCUGGCCCCAUCCUGCUCCUCAGCCCAGGUCUGGACGUCUCCCGAGCACCCAAGGUUGUUGUGGCUCUGUCCCCAAAGAGGUAAGGACAAGGGAGAGAAGAUUGGGGCUGUG